CUUUGACGUCAUCCGCCUGUCCGUUACUGCUACGCCGCAUAAAGUCGAAUCAAAGGGUCGAAUUAAUCUAUGCACAAGCUCGGCCAUUAUCUUCUCCUCAUCAUCUUCAUCCUCCUUUACUCCAGAAGCUGCGAUGGCCGGGGGUGUGGAUGAGGGCCGGGGCCCAUCGGAGGUCGAGGGUCGUCUCAGUUUGACCGGUGGCGUCUGAGAGUUAAUCGGUCUUCCACUCAGCUGCACCUGCUGUCUCAUUUUAAGCCUGUCUGUGGUGUCUCAGCCCUGGAAGACCUCCUACACUGACUUGGCUUGAAAAAGACGAAAAUGUAGGACAAUGGUUUAAAGACCAGCAGAAGUCUUCCGAAGUUUCCUCUAUUGGAGGGUGCACCGAUAAUGGAGA